rnacentral:rRNA from 1 species
GUGAGGAAUAUUGGUCAAUGGGCGUAAGCCUGAACCAGCCAAGUAGCGUGAAGGAUGACUGCCCUAUGGGUUGUAAACUUCUUUUAUAUGGGAAUAAAAUGCUCCACGUGUGGAAUAUUGCAUGUACCAUAUGAAUAAGGAUCGGCUAACUCCGUGCCAGCAGCCGCGGUAAUACGGAGGAUCCGAGCGUUAUCCGGAUUUAUUGGGUUUAAAGGGAGCGUAGGUGGACAGUUAAGUCAGUUGUGAAAGUUUGCGGCUCAACCGUAAAAUUGCAGUUGAUACUGGCAGUCUUGAGUACAGUAGAGGUGGGCGGAAUUCGUGGUGUAGCGGUGAAAUGCUUAGAUAUCACGAAGAACUCCGAUUGCGAAGGCAGCUCACUAGACUGGUCACUGACACUGAGGCUCGAAAGUGUGGGUAUCAAACAGGAUUAGAAACCCCUGUAGUCC